AACAUCAAAUAAUUAGCUGGCAAAAGCUGAAGAACUGGUUCCUUCAGUCACUCCGGAUCUUUGGCGGCACUGAUAGACCUGCCGCUGAAGUGCCCG